GAUGAACGCUGGCGGUCUGCUUAACACAUGCAAGUCGAACGGUGAACCCUCGGGUUCAUAGUGGCGGACGGGUGAGUAACACGUGAGAAUCUGCCUUCAGGUCGGGGACAACAGCGGGAAACUGCUGCUAAUACCCGAUGUGCCUACGGGUGAAAGAUUAAUUGCCUGAAGAUGAGCUCGCGUCCGAUUAGCUAGUUGGUGGGGUAAAAGCCUACCAAGGCGACGAUCGGUAGCUGGUCUGAGAGGAUGAGCAGCCACACUGGGAUUGAGACACGGCCCAGACUCCUACGGGAGGCAGCAGUGGGGAAUUUUCCGCAAUGGGCGAAAGCCUGACGGAGCAAGACCGCGUGGGGGAUGAAGGCUCUUGGGUUGUAAACCCCUUUUCUCAGGGAAGAAGUUCUGACGGUACCUGAGGAAUCAGCAUCGGCUAACUCCGUGCCAGCCGCCGCAGUAAAAC
rnacentral:rRNA from 1 species